GGACUAUAGCUCAGAUGGUUAAACUAUUUGCCUAGCAUGCACAAGGCCCUGGGUUCAAUUCCCAGUACCA
rnacentral:tRNA from 1 species